ACCUGGUUAGCUCAGUUGGUAGAGCGCUCCACAUGCAGUGGGGAGGUCCCGGGUUCGAUACCCGGACCAGGCG
rnacentral:tRNA from 1 species